rnacentral:rRNA from 1 species
CAGGCCUAACACAUGCAAGUCGAGGGGUAUAGUUCUUCGGAACUAGAGACCGGCGCACGGGUGCGUAACGCGUAUGCAAUCUACCUUGUACAGAGGGAUAGCCCAGAGAAAUUUGGAUUAAUACCUCAUAGUGUUAUUGAAUGGCAUCAUUUGAUAACUAAAGUUCCAACGGUACAAGAUGAGCAUGCGUCCCAUUAGUUAGUUGGUAAGGUAACGGCUUACCAAGACAAUGAUGGGUAGGGGUCCUGAGAGGGAGAUCCCCCACACUGGUACUGAGACACGGACCAGACUCCUACGGGAGGCAGCAGUGAGGAAUAUUGGACAAUGGGCGCAAGCCUGAUCCAGCCAUGCCGCGUGCAGGAUGACUGCCCUAUGGGUUGUAAACUGCUUUUAUACAGGAAGAAACACUGCUACGUGUAGCAGCUUGACGGUACUGUAGGAAUAAGGAUCGGCUAACUCCGUGCCAGCAGCCGCGGUAAUACGGAGGAUCCAAGCGUUAUCCGGAAUCAUUGGGUUUAAAGGGUCCGUAGGCGGCCUUAUAAGUCAGUGGUGAAAUCUCCUAGCUCAACUAGGAAACUGCCAUUGAUACUGUAGGGCUUGAAUUUUUAGGAAGUAACUAGAAUAUGUAGUGUAGCGGUGAAAUGCUUAGAUAUUACAUGGAAUACCAAUUGCGAAGGCAGGUUACUACUAAUGGAUUGACGCUGAUGGACGAAAGCGUGGGUAGCGAACAGGAUUAGAUACCCUGGUAGUCCACGCCGUAAACGAUGGAUACUAGCUGUUCGGUCUUCGGACUGAGUGGCUAAGCGAAAGUGAUAAGUA